UACGGAGGGGGCUAGCGUUGUUCGGAAUUACUGGGCGUAAAGCGCACGUAGGCGGCUUUGUAAGUAAGAGGUGAAAGCCUGGUGCUCAACACCAGAACUGCCUUUUAGACUGCAUCGCUUGAAUCAUGGAGAGGUCAGUGGAAUUCCGAGUGUAGAGGUGAAAUUCGUAGAUAUUCGGAAGAACACCAGUGGCGAAGGCGGCUGACUGGACAUGUAUUGACGCUGAGGUGCGAAAGCGUGGGGAGCAAACAGG
rnacentral:rRNA from 1 species